GGACCCGCACAAGCGGUGGAGCAUGUGGUUUAAUUCGAUGCAACGCGAAAAACCUUACCUACACUUGACAUACUUCGAAUUUUCUAGAGAUAGAUUAGUGCCUUCGGGAGCGAAGAUACAGGUGCUGCAUGGCUGUCGUCAGCUCGUGUCGUGAGAUGUUGGGUUAAGUCCUAUAACGAGCGCAACCCUUACCCUUAUUUGCCAGCGGUUAGGCCGGGAACUAUAAGGGAACUGCCGGUAAUAAGCCGGAGGAAGGUGGGGACGACGUCAAGUCAUCAUGGCCCUUACGUGUAGGGCUACACACGUGCUACAAUGGCUAGGACAGACGGCCGCAAACCCGCGAGGGGGAG
rnacentral:rRNA from 1 species